rnacentral:rRNA from 1 species
UGGGGAAUAUUGCACAAUGGGCGCAAGCCUGAUGCAGCCAUGCCGCGUGUGUGAAGAAGGCCUUCGGGUUGUAAAGCACUUUCAGCGAGGAGGAAGGUGGUGAGCUUAAUACGCUCAUCAAUUGACAUUACUCGCAGAAGAAGCACCGGCUAACUCCGUGCCAGCAGCCGCGGUAAUACGGAGGGUGCAAGCGUUAAUCGGAAUUACUGGGCGUAAAGCGCACGCAGGCGGUUUGUUAAGUCAGAUGUGAAAUCCCCGGGCUCAACCUGGGAACUGCAUUUGAAACUGGCAAGCUAGAGUCUCGUAGAGGGGGGUAGAAUUCCAGGUGUAGCGGUGAAAUGCGUAGAGAUCUGGAGGAAUACCGGUGGCGAAGGCGGCCCCCUGGACGAAGACUGACGCUCAGGUGCGAAAGCGUGGGGCAGCAAACAGGAUUAGAUACCCUGGUAGUCCACGCUGUAAACGAUGUCGAUUUUGGAGGUUGUGCCCUUGAGGCGUGGCUUCCGGAGCUAACGCGUUAAA